rfam:Colletotrichum orbiculare MAFF 240422 contig01188, whole genome shotgun sequence.
ACAUACGGCCAUACCCAUUGGAAAACUCGGGAUCCCGUCCGCUCUCCCAUAGAUAAGCCAAGGAGGGCCGGAUUAGUAGUUGGGUCGGUGACGACCAGCGAAUACCUGGUGUUGUAUGUC